CGCCCGGCGAGCGCCUCCGGAGGGUGGCGGAGCCCCAUGGCCCCCGGGCUGGCGCUGGCGGGGCUGCUGCUGGCUCUGGCGGGCCGCUGGCUGGGCGCGGCCGACGGGACGCAGGAUCUGGACGAGGAGGGGGUGCUGGUCUCGGCGCCCCCCGAGCUGCUGGAGCGGGUGCCCGCCGCCGCCAAGGCCACGGUGGCGGCCGGCUACGUCAACCAGGCGGAGGCGGAGGCGGCGGCCACCAAGGAGCUGCCGCAGCUGCCCGCCCUGCCCUCGGCGGCCCCCGCGGCCCACGGGACGGUGCUGAUCGUGGGCGACACGCGCUACGCCUGGCAGGAGUGGAGCGCCUGGCACUGCAACUGCGCGGCCGGCAGCAUGGCCCGCGUGCGCGACAUCACCUACGCCGUGCCGGGCGUGCGCCUGGAUCCCGCGCAGUACGACCUGCUGCGCUUCGAGCGGGUGGUCUGCAGCUACGCCGCCUGCGCCUGCAGCCGGCCCAAGCGCCAGUGCGACCUGCUGGCCCCCAGCUGCGACCUGGGCCAGGUGCACCUCUGCGCCCUGCGCGACAUCCAGCGCGACCAGGACGAGAAGCGGCGGCGCUUCUGGGCGAAGGUCAACGGCGGGCUGAAGGCGCUCUGGCGCAGCCUGAAGGAGACCUUCCCCCGCGACAAGAAGUCAAAAACAAUUCAAGUGAAGAGCAGCCACUGACCACAAGUUCGAAAGACGCCAGAGCAGAGCAAGCUGGCCACAGCAACACCGCCACCAGUCCAUACCGUUCAUAGAACCCCUGCCUGAAUCCCCCCCUCUUCUUACAAAGCAAAUGAGUUUAUUUGCAAGAAAUUGGAAGGACCCUUGGUUUGGGCAAAGAAAGCUGCUUUUCAGCACAUAGCAUUUCUCUCUCUCUCCCCCCCAGUGACCUUUAAAAAAAAAGGAUUUUUAGCUUAUCAGGCAAGAACUUUCCAAAGAGCCCCCCCCCCUCCUUGUGCUACAAAAACUUAAUAAAAUUCUGAUUCCUACAGCCAGUUUGCUUCUAUUGGAUUGAAGAGGCAUCUGAGACCGUUGGACUACACUUCCCAUCCUCCUUGCCUGCAUGGCCAUGGGUUCUCCUCCAAUCUCAGAAAAUGCCCUUACAUACAUAUAUGUAUGUAUGUAUGCAUGCUGGAUCCUCUAAAAGUCUCUUUGAGCGAGAAGGGAAGCAUGGGAACGCAGGAGAGUCAAACCUGGGAAACAAGUGUUAUCAAAACAGCAAGCUUUCCACAACGUUGCCUCCACAUUUUUUUAUACAAGCCUGGCUGGAGAAGAGAGACACACCAGCCAUGUUCAAACAAAGAUGGGACUUUUGGAUAAGGGUCCCCACUGAGCCUCUUCCAGACAAAACACUCUCCGUGGGAUACUUUCUCCAGCCGCCUUUUACAAGCUUGCAGAGAUGUGGUUUAUCCUGGUGGCAAUUUUGCCCCCAUCUCCCAGCUGUCCAUCUGCAUGGGUAUGUGUGUGUGUGUGUUUGCUUCAAUCCACGAAGGAAAGGGGGCAAAUUCUUCCUGGCUGUGGGAGUUUGAGGAAUGGAGCCCCUCGGAUCAUCUCUGGAUCCCAACGUCUUUGCCAACCUGCGGGGUAUGUGUGGAUUUUUCUGGAUCCCCAUUUGGGCAAAGAGCAGAGGGGGGUCGAUUUAGGACAGAAAGCUUUUCAAGGAGAAAAGCCACUUAGAGUCACUUCGAACUGCAAGGCAGGCAGCAAAUAAAUUUGACAGGUAGGCAAAAAAAUGCCAAAUCCAGCCUGGACAUCUGGCUGAGUACAAGACAAACCAUAAUAAUAAUAAUAAUAAUAAUAACAACAACAAAUAUCACAAGCACCGAAUUGCUGUUGGGUUUUGAUCCUGCUUCCUUGAAAAAAUCAGCAGUCACUGGAAGAUGUUUUAGCACCCCCUGCCUCGGCCUGGGGGGGGGGGGCUAUAAGGAAUCCAGAAUGAGAUACGGCAGCAUCAGGAGGGAUUGUUCUGCAAGAUGGUGGCCCCAUACCUUAAUAGCCUCCAGAAUGUCUUGUGUUGUGGCCAGGAUACAUCCUGAAGAAUAAAAUCCAGUGGAGAAACUUCUGCAAAAACACCA